rnacentral:rRNA from 1 species
GAUGAACGCUGGCGGCGUGCUUAACACAUGCAAGUCGAACGGAAAGGCCCAAGCUUGCUUGGGUCCUCGAGUGGCGAACGGGUGAGUAACACGUGGGUGAUCUGCCCUGCACUUCGGGAUAAGCCUGGGAAACUGGGUCUAAUACCGGAUAGGACGAUGGUUUGGAUGCCAUUGUGGAAAGUUUUUUCGGUGUGGGAUGAGCUCGCGGCCUAUCAGCUUGUUGGUGGGGUAAUGGCCUACCAAGGCGUCGACGGGUAGCCGGCCUGAGAGGGUGUACGGCCACAUUGGGACUGAGAUACGGCCCAGACUCCUACGGGAGGCAGCAGUGGGGAAUAUUGCACAAUGGGCGCAGGCCUGAUGCAGCGACGCCGCGUGGGGGAUGGCGGCCUUCGGGUUGUAAACUCCUUUCGCUAGGGACGAAGCGUUUUUGUGACGGUACCUGGAGAAGAAGCACCGGCUAACUACGUG